GCGAGAGUGGCGGAAUUGGUAGACGCGCUAGACUUAGAAUCUAGUGGCUUAGGUCGUGAGGGUUCAAGUCCCUCCUCUCGCA
rnacentral:tRNA from 1 species